UACAGAGGUCUCAACCGUUGUUCGGAUUCAUUGGGCGUAAAGGGUGCGUAGGCGGCGGGGCAAGUCAGGUGUGAAAUCUCGGGGCUCAACCCCGAAACUGCACUUGAUACUGCCUCGCUUGAGUACUGGAGAGGAGACUGGAAUUUACGGUGUAGCGGUGAAAUGCGUAGAUAUCUGGAGGAACACCGGUGGCGAAGGCGGCAUCCUGGACCGGCAUUGACGCUGAGGCGCGAAAGCUAGGGGAGCAAACGGG
rnacentral:rRNA from 1 species